rnacentral:rRNA from 1 species
GCAUAUCAAUAAGCGGAGGAAAAGAAACUAACAAGGAUUCCCCUAGUAACGGCGAGUGAAGAGGGAAGAGCCCAAGAUUGAAAGCUGGCGUCUUCGGCGUCCGCAUUGUAAUCUCAAGAAGUGUUUUCCGCUUCGGACCAUGCCUAAGUCCCUUGGAAAAGGGCAUCAUAGAGGGUGAUAAUCCCGUACAUGGCAUGGAGCGCCCGAAGCUUUGUGAUACGCUUUCUAAGAGUCGAGUUGUUUGGGAAUGCAGCUCAAAAUGGGUGGUAAAUGCCAUCUAAGGCUAAAUAUUGGGGAGAGACCGAUAGCGAACAAGUACAGUGAUGGAAAGAUGAAAAGAACUUUGAAAAGAGAGUUAAACAGUACGUGAAAUUGCCAAAAGGGAAGGGUAGGAGGUCAGAGAUGCGGCCUAGGAUUCAGCCUUGCUUUUGCUUGGUGUUUUUCCUAGGUUGCAGGCCAACGUCGGUUUUGGGCACUGGAGAAGGGUGGAAGGAAUGUGGCACCUCUCGGGGUGUGUUAUAGCCUUCUACUGGAUACAGCGACCGAGACCGAGGACAGCAGCGUACUCGCAAGAGCGGGCCUUCGGGCACCUUUACGCUUAGGGCGUUGGCAUAAUGGCCCUCUACCACCCGUCUUGAAACACGGACCAAGGAGUCUAACAUGUAUGCGAGUCUUUGGGUGGCAAACCCAUAGGCGCAAUGAAAGUGAAUUCAGGUGGGAUCCGCAAGGUGCACCAUCGACCGAUCCUCACGUCUUUUUAAGUCGUGGAUUUGAGUAAGAGCAUACCUGUUGGGACCCGAAAGAUGGUGAACUAUGCCUGAAUAGGGUGAAGCCAGAGGAAACUCUGGUGGAGGCUCGUAGCGGUUCUGACGUGCAAAUCGAUCGUCAAAUUUGGGUAUAGGGGCGAAAGACUAAUCGAACCAUCUAGUAGCUGGUCCUGCG